AUUGAACGCUGGCGGCAUGCCUUACACAUGCAAGUCGAACGGCAGCACGGGAGCAAUCCUGGUGGCGAGUGGCGAACGGGUGAGUAAUAUAUCGGAACGUGCCCAGUCGUGGGGGAUAACGUAGAGAAAUUUACGCUAAUACCGCAUACGAUCUAAGGAUGAAAGCGGGGGGACCGUAAGGCCUCGCGCGAUUGGAGCGGCUGAUAUCAGAUUAGGUUGUUGGUGAGGUAAAAGCUCACCAAGCCGACGAUCUGUAGCUGGUUUGAGAGAACGACCAGCCACACUGGGACUGAGACACGGCCCAGACUCCUACGGGAGGCAGCAGUGGGGGAAUUUUGGACAAUGGGCGCAAGCCUGAUCCAGCAAUGCCGCGUGCAGGAUGAAGG
rnacentral:rRNA from 1 species